GCCCUGGUAGCUCAAUUGGUUAGAGCGUCGGACUUUUAUUUACCAUAUGUGGUCUGCAAAAGUUCAUCCGAAGGCUGCGGGUUCGACCCCCGCCUGGGGCG